GCACCCAUAGCUCAAUUGGAUAGAGUACUUGACUACGAAUCAAGCGGUUAGAGGUUCGACUCCUCUUGGGUGCG
rnacentral:tRNA from 4 species